CAGGUCUUUCCCCAACCAUAGUUGAGCAUUGUUUUGGAUUGUAAUGUCCCCAAUCUUCCUUGAGUACAUGGUUGUGUGUUGUUCCCAGGGAAUUGAAUAUUCGAAGUUAGGAUUUAUAUCCUCGUUGGUUUAUUUUCAUCCGUAGAAGGUUCUCCAUGUUGGUGUUUCCAUCUUGUUGAUAUUAGUCGAGUAUCUAGUUGUGAUGAUUGAAUCUUUAUUUGUUUGUAUCCUUUGUGCUCAUUUGUCA
rnacentral:lncRNA from 1 species